CUCCAACCCCUGUGACAUACCUAUACGUUGCCUCGGCGGAUCAGCCCGCGCCCCGUAAAAAGGGACGGCCCGCCCGAGGACCCCUAAACUCUGUUUUUAGUGGAACUUCUGAGUAAAACAAACAAAUAAAUCAAAACUUUCAACAACGGAUCUCUUGGUUCUGGCAUCGAUGAAGAACGCAGCAAAAUGCGAUAAGUAAUGUGAAUUGCAGAAUUCAGUGAAUCAUCGAAUCUUUGAACGCACAUUGCGCCCGCCAGUAUUCUGGCGGGCAUGCCUGUUCGAGCGUCAUUUCAACCCUCAAGCUCAGCUUGGUGUUGGGACUCGCGGUAACCCGCGUUCCCCAAAUCGAUUGGCGGUCACGUCGAGCUUCCAUAGCGUAGUAAUCAUACACCUCGUUACUGGUAAUCGUCGCGGCCACGCCGUAAAACCCCAACUUCUGAAUGUUGACCUCGGAUCAGGUAGGAAUACCCGCUGAACUUAAGCAUAUCAAUAAGCGGAGGA
rnacentral:rRNA from 1 species